rnacentral:rRNA from 1 species
UGGGGAAUAUUGCACAAUGGGCGCAAGCCUGAUGCAGCCAUGCCGCGUGUAUGAAGAAGGCCUUCGGGUUGUAAAGUACUUUCAGCGGGGAGGAAGGUGUUGAGGUUAAUAACCUCAGCAAUUGACGUUACCCGCAGAAGAAGCACCGGCUAACUCCGUGCCAGCAGCCGCGGUAAUACGGAGGGGGCAAGCGUUAAUCGGAAUUACUGGGCGUAAAGCGCACGCAGGCGGUCUGUCAAGUCGGAUGUGAAAUCCCCGGGCUCAACCUGGGAACUGCAUUCGAAACUGGUAGGCUAGAGUCUUGUAGAGGGGGGUAGAAUUCCAGGUGUAGCGGUGAAAUGCGUAGAGAUCUGGAGGAAUACCGGUGGCGAAGGCGGCCCCCUGGACAAAGACUGACGCUCAGGUGCGAAAGCGUGGGGAGCAAACA